GGUAAAGAACGACUUAAAACGUCUGAUCUAAAGAACUUGUUUUCUGUGGUAUUAUGGUUAUAUUCAGGUGGAGGUUGUGCUAUGUCUUAUGAAAGGAAUCUUGAGAUAGUGGAAUAUAACUGUGGGUUGUAAGUUAUUUUUAUUGUUUGCCUUGUGAUUUGUUUUAUAUUUGAGUUAGAAUCCUCCAAGGGCAGAUCUCCUGAUCUGUGUUUAGAAGACAAAACUGGGAAAAUUCCACUGCAGCAGUCCUA